CCGAUGAGGGGGAGUAACUACUGGAAACGGUGGCUAAUACCGCAUAAUGUCUACGGACCAAAGCAGGGGCUCUUCGGACCUUGCACUAUCGGAUGAACCCAUAUGGGAUUAGCUAGUAGGUGGGGUAAAGGCUCACCUAGGCGACGAUCUCUAGCUGGUCUGAGAGGAUGAUCAGCCACACUGGGACUGAGACACGGCCCAG
rnacentral:rRNA from 1 species